rnacentral:rRNA from 1 species
CCCGCUGAACUUAAGCAUAUCAAUAAGCGGAGGAAAAGAAACUAACAAGGAUUCCCCUAGUAACGGCGAGUGAAGCGGGAAGAGCUCAAAUUUAAAAUCUGGCGCUUUCACCGUCCGAGUUGUAAUCUGGAGAAGAGGCUUCCGUGGCGGAUCCUGUACAAGUCUCUUGGAACAGAGCGUCAUAGAGGGUGAGAAUCCCGUCUUUGACACUCACAGAGGGUGAUAUGUGAUGCACUCUCGAAGAGCCGAGUCGCAUGGGAAUCCAGCUCGAAAUGGGUAGUAAAUUCCAUCUACAGCUCAAUAUGGGCGAGAGACCUCAUAGCGAACAAGUACCGUGAGGAAAAGAUGAUAAGCCCUAAGUAGAGAGAGUUAAACAGUACGAGAAAUUGUGAAAAAGAAAUCGACAGAACUCAGUAGCGUCUUAAGAGAUUCACCCUCGCUUAUGCUCGCGUGUACUUCUCUGUUGCCGGGUCAUCUUCAGUUCUUCUCGGUGCACACAGGCCGGAGAAAUGUGGCAUCGUUCGAGAUGUGCUAUAGUCUCUCACGCUUGCUACUACACGCGAGUGGGAUUGAGCACCUCACGCACGCCUCUCUGCCCGGGGCUAGCCCCCGUCCUGUGCUUAGGAUGCUGGCAUAAUGGCUGUAAGCGACCCGUCUUGAAACACGG